UACGUAGGUGACAAGCGUUGUCCGGAUUUACUGGGCGUAAAGAGCGCGCAGGCGGUCGUUCAAGUCGAGUGUGAAAGCCCCCGGCUCAACUGGGGAGGGUCAUUCGAUACUGAUCGACUCGAAGGCAGGAGAGGGAAGUGGAAUUCCCGGUGUAGUGGUGAAAUGCGUAGAUAUCGGGAGGAACACCAGUGGCGAAGGCGACUUUCUGGCCUGUUCUUGACGCUGAGGCGCGAAAGCUAGGGGAGCAAACGGG
rnacentral:rRNA from 1 species